GAAAGCCUGAUUGGAGCAACGCCGCGUGAGUGAUGAAGGCCUUCGGGUUGUAAAACUCUGUCGUGCAAGAACAAAGUCACCGGGUGAACAAUCCGGUGAUCUGAUUGUAUUGCAGGAGGAAGACACGGCUAACUCUGUGCCAGCAGCCGCGGUAAUAA
rnacentral:rRNA from 1 species